rnacentral:rRNA from 1 species
CAGACCUGACUGCUAUCGGAUUGGUACUAAGCCAUGCGAGUCAUUGUAGCAAUACAAGGCGGACGGCUCAGUAACACGUAGUCAACCUAACUCGUGGACGUGGAUAACCUCGGGAAACUGAGAAUAAACCACGAUAGAUCAUAAUGCCUGGAAUGGCUCAUGGUCCAAACAGUUUACUGCCAUGGGAUGGGACUGCGGCCUAUCAGCUUGUUGGUGAGGUAAUGGCCCACCAAGGCGAUUACAGGUACGGGCUCUGAGAGGAGAAGCCCGGAGAUGGGUACUGAGACACGGACCCAGGCCCUAUGGGGCGCAGCAGGCGAGAAACCUUAGCAAUGUGCGAAAGCACGACUGGGUCAGUCCGAGUGAUUCCUGAUAAAGGAGUCUUUUGCUUGUCCUAAAAGCACAGGUGAAUAAGGGGUGGGCAAGUCUGGUGUCAGCCGCCGCGGUAAUACCAGCACCUCGAGUGGUCAGGACGUUUAUUGGGCCUAAAGCAUCCGUAGCCUGCUUUGCAAGUCUUCGGUUAAAUCCACCUGCUCAACAGAUGGGCCGCUGGAGAUACUACAAAGCUAGGGAGUGGGAGAGGCAGACGGUAUUCAGUGGGUAGGGGUAAAAUCCUCUGAUCCAUUGAGGACCACCAGUGGCGAAGGCGGUCUGCCAGAACACGUUCGACGGUGAGGGAUGAAAGCUGGGGGAGCAAACCGGAUUAGAUACCCGGGUAGUCCCAGCUGUAAACGAUGCAAACUCGGUGAUGCAUUGGCUUAUUGCCAAUGCAGUGCCGCAGGGAAGCCGUUAAGUUUGCCGCCUGGGAAGUACGGACGCAAGUCUGAAACUUAAAGGAAUUGGCGGGGGAGCACCACAAGGGGUGAAGCCUGCGGUUCAAUUGGAUUCAACGCCGGG